GGUUUCUCUGUGUAGCCUUGGCUGUCCUGGAACUCACUCUGUAGACCAGGCUGGCCUUGAACUCACAGACAUCCACCUGCCUCUGCCUCCCAAGUGCUGGGAUUAAAGGCAUGAGCUACCAAUGCCC
ensembl:miRNA